rnacentral:misc_RNA from 1 species
AGAAUCGCCAUGAAAUCUCUCAAAAUCACCGCACUUUCCCUCGUCCUGGUUCUGCUUCUCGCCGCCUGCGGCGCGAAAGUAGACACCCCCGAUGAACCCGCCGUCGAUCCGACGCCGGAACCUCCUAUCGAGCAGCCGGUGGAAGAAACGCCCGAUGAGCGCAUCAACGACAUCAUUGCAGGUAUGA